rnacentral:misc_RNA from 1 species
ACAAUAACGAAGCGGGCACAGCGUCACUGGUGCACGAGCUGGACGAACCCCUCACCCUGCGCACGACCACACGGUGGUGCCUGCAUUCUAUUCAACGUACAUGUGAAGGGGUAUGCGGAAAGACGGAAGAGAGGACAAUGUUUCUUUUCCCAAGCGUGCCUGCUCUCUGCUGCAGAGCAUGGGGCCCAACAGAACUCGGCCCGGGCCCGUCGCCAGCUCGUUUGCGUGAUGCCAAGCAGCCGCACACACGUGCUACCGCAACGGCGACGCAGUCGUCGCAGCGCCACACCUGCAUCGAGCUCUAUCCACCUCCGCUGAGCAGGCCGCCGCACGGCCGCUCGCCCAUCAUGCCUGUCCCCACCUGGUGCAGCCCCCUCGGGGCAACCCUCAGGCUCCCCCCGCACCAGCAGGCAGGGCGAGGGCCGGGGAUGAUGCACGCUCCAGUCCCGCUGACACUCUGCCCACCGCAUGGAUGGCGCACGCGUGCUCACGGUCGCAGGUCGCUCCGACGCAACGCCAUUCGGAGCCUGGCUACCGACGUCAGCAGCGAUGCAUCGCUCUGAUAUCUACGUCACAGGCACCAGGCACUGGCACCAUCCGAAGUGGCGCGGCAUUUGGCAGGGGUAGGGAGGGGCUGCCUGACUUUCCCAGGCAGAGAGAGUGGCAGAGGGAAGGGGAGGGGCAGUGGGCCCUGCUAUGCCGCCCAUUGAAGGAGUGGGUGCCCUCCCUCCCCCGCGCCUCCUGGCCCUUCGUGGAGGGAAGAGCAGGAGAGAAAGGACAAAAAGGAACGAAAAGUCGCCAAUCGUAGGGAAAGCUGGGGCGGGGCGGGGGGCGAACGCCGGCCUGCCUGCGCGUCUCUCACGUACUUUUUUGUUGCUUUCUUCCGUGUCCUCGGUAAUGUCUCUUUGACACAGGUGACGCAUCACUGCAGCUGCCCCCGGUGCAGCUCAUCCUUCCCUGCUCCUCCUCUCCGCGUCGACAUCAGCUGUCACUGAGACAUCCAAACAAACACAAAAUGAGCAGUGCAGUGGCGACGACUCAUGAGCUAGUGUGAGCCACGCGCAAACACGCGCGCUUGCGCAUAUGCACGCUGUUAGUGCACUGGGCUGUCAUCUUUUCACCUCUCUUCGCUUGGGCUCUCGGGUGCGCGUUGCUGCCGUCAGCACGCCAUGCUUCGCCUCGCCCCCUCCCCUACAGUGUCGUUGAACCGCUCUCUUAGCACGACCCCUUUUGGCAACACCUUAUGUGUUUUUCUUUGGAGGGAGCUGUUUCCGGCACUGCGCGGUCUUCCCGUGUUGUGUGCUUCGAAUCCGCGCGUUGAUUUCAGCGAGGAGCAGAAGGAGCUUCCAUGUUUUUUUUUUUUUCCUUCUCCAGCCCCCUUCACUUCCCACCCUCUUCCUCGCCUUGCCACGGUGCGAAG